rnacentral:rRNA from 1 species
UACGGAGGGUGCAAGCGUUAUCCGGAUUCACUGGGUUUAAAGGGUGCGUAGGUGGGUUGAUAAGUCAGUGGUGAAAUCUCCGAGCUUAACUCGGAAAGGUCAACUGAUACUGUGCGGCUAGAGUGCGGAAGGGGCAACUGGAAUUCUUGGUGUAGCGGUGAAAUGCGUAGAUAUCAAGAGGAACACCUGCGGCGAAGGCGGGUUGCUGGGCCGACACUGACGCUGAGGCGCGAAAGCCAGGGGAGCGAACGGG